UCGCUCACUAGAGUAUAACAACAUUACAUGUGAGAACUCACUGCCCAUUGCUGUAGUUUUCUAGUCACUUUAUCUUCUUUGCCAUUCUCAUACAAUAAAGGCAAAAAAGGAGUGGAGAAAGGAGAAAAUGGGAAGAAAGGUGAGCAAAGACCAGGACAGUGAAAAUAAUAUCGAGGAGCUGCCCAGUACAGCCAAGAUACCAAGAAAGAAAAGGUUUAUUGGCAUUCCUGCAAAAUAUCUGUGCAUGGAUGACCUGUAAAAGGAGGAAAACUUCCAGCAAGGAAGAGAAGUGUAAGAGACCACUCCGGACCGACAACAUCCAUCUGAUCGACCGUACAGGCAAAAAAGGAGUGGAGAAAGGAGAAAAUGGGAAGAAAGGUGAGCAAAGACCAGGACAGUGAAAAUAAUAUCGAGGAGCUGCCCAGUACAGCCAAGAUACCAAGAAAGAAAAGGUUUAUUGGCAUUCCUGCAAAAUAUCUGUGCCUGGAUGACCUGUAAAAGGAGGAAAACUUCCAGCAAGGAAGAGAAGUGUAAGAAACCACUCCGGACCGACAACAUCCAUCUGAUCGACCGUACAGGCAAAAAAGGAGUGGAGAAAGGAGAAAAUGGGAAGAAAGGUGAGCAAAGACCAGGACAGUGGAAAUAAUAUCGAGGAGCUGCCCAGUACAGCCAAGAUACCAAGAAAGAAAAGGUUUAUUGGCAUUCCUGCAAAAUAUCUGUGCCUGGAUGACCUGUAAAAGGAGGAAAACUUCCAGCAAGGAAGAGAAGUGUAAGAGACCACUCCGGACCGACAACAUCCAUCUGAUCGACCGUACAGGAUUCCCAGGAGGACUAUAAGCCAGGACUGCAGGAGCACACAGCAAAAUGGACACACAGCAUAAAUUCUGUCAGUGUGAAGU